AAGGCAGGAAAAGAAUUGUUGGAGGCUGAUCGGAUAACGUGAAAUGACAGUUGGUCAAUUGCAAAAUGCCCGCUGAAUUCACCCUCUCAAACCCUGAAAUCAAAUAACAUAUUAAGACAUAUUACGCCACUCGUUCGCAACACAGAUGCUUUAUAGUAAUCGAUUAAAGCUUAGUUAGCAAUCAGCCCGGACAAAAGGGGGAAUUAUUGUCUUAUGUCUGUUACAGGCAAGAGGAAAGGCGGGGUUUAAAACAGCCCAGUCAAACUGAACAGCCGAACGUCUACCCACCGCGAAUCAAUCUAAACAACGCUGCCGCUGUUGAAAUUGUACCACGAUAAAAUAACAGAAGCUCACCGAAUCGAUAUUUUAUUUCAACCAGAUUAUCAUCAGCCGAAACAACUUCAUGGCCGCCUGAACGGUCUGUAACAGGCACAUGGACAGAGCAUGCUCUGAAAACAUACGCUGUGUCCCAGCAUCACAACUCAUGCAAGUACUCAAAGGACCAAGACAAUGUAAUAUUCCCUCGGUACAGAGCCAAAUCUGACCAGCUGCUUCGAACAUACAGUAGAUGAGGAAGGACACCACUUUGACUGCGACAACACAUCC